rnacentral:rRNA from 1 species
UACAGAGGGGGCAAGCGUUGUUCGGAAUUACUGGGCGUAAAGCGCACGUAGUCGGCUUUGCAAGUCGGGUGUGAAAUCCCCGGGCUCAACCUGGGAACUGCAUCCGAGACUGCAUUGCUAGAGUAUGGGAGAGGGAAGCGGAAUUUCUGGUGUAGCAGUGAAAUGCGUAGAUAUCAGAAGGAACAUCAGUGGCGAAGGCGGCUUCCUGGACCAAUACUGACGAUCAGGUGCGAAAGCGUGGGGAGCAAACAGG